rnacentral:tRNA from 1 species
GCCGAGGUGGCGGAACGGCAGACGCGCUAGGUUCAGGACCUAGUCCUGGCAACAGGGUAGGGGUUCAAGUCCCCUCCUCGGUA